rnacentral:rRNA from 1 species
AGAUAUUGAGCGUAAGCGCGCGUAGGUGGUUUCUUAAGUCUGAUGUGAAAGCCCACGGCUCAACCUUGGAAGGUCAUUGCAAACUGGGGAACUUGAGGACAGAAGAGGAUAGUGGAAUUCCACGUGUAGCGGUGAAAUGCGUAGAUAUGUGGAGGAACACCAGUGGCGAAGGCGACUCUCUGGUCUGUCUCUGACACUGAGGUGCGAAAGCGUGGGUAGCAAACAGGAUUAGAUACCCUGGUAGUCCACGCCGUAAACGAUGACUGCUAGGUGUUAGGGGGCUUCCACCCCUUAUUGCUGAACUUAACGCAUUAAUCACUCCCCCGGGGGAUUACGGCCGCAAGGCUAAAACUCAAAGGAAUUGACGGGGGCCCCCACAACCGGGGAACCAGGUGUUUAAUUUCAAACCACCCCAAAAAACCUUACCAGGUCUUGACAUCCUUGA